rnacentral:rRNA from 1 species
AGGACGAACGCUGGCGGCGUGCUUAACACAUGCAAGUCGAACGCAUGCAUUCCUUCGGGAAUGUGAUGAGUGGCGAACGGGUGAGUAACACGUGAGCAACCUACCCUUGACACUGGAAUAACAGCUGGAAACAGCUGCUAAUACCGGAUAUGACUCUUCUCGACAUCGGGAAGGUGGAAAGUUCUGGCGGUCAAGGAUGGGCUCGCGGCCUAUCAGCUAGUUGGUGAGGUAACGGCUCACCAAGGCUUCGACGGGUA